rnacentral:tRNA from 8 species
GUGAUCGUAGUUCAGUUGGUAGAGCGCCAGUUUGUGGCACUGGUUGUCGCGAGUUCAAGCCUCGUCGAUCACCCCA